UACGUAGGGGGCAAGCGUUGUCCGGAAUCAUUGGGCGUAAAGAGCGUGUAGGCGGCUCGAUAAGUCUGCUGUGAAAGUCCAGGGCUCAACCCUGGAAGGCCGGUGGAAACUGUCGGGCUAGAGUCCGGAAGAGGCGAGUGGAAUUCCUGGUGUAGCGGUGAAAUGCGCAGAUAUCAGGAGGAACACCAAUGGCGAAGGCAGCUCGCUGGGACGGUACUGACGCUGAGACGCGAAAGCGUGGGGAGCAAACAGG
rnacentral:rRNA from 1 species